rnacentral:rRNA from 1 species
UACGGAGGGUGCAAGCGUUAUCCGGAUUCACUGGGUUUAAAGGGUGCGUAGGUGGCGUGGUAAGUCGGGUGUGAAAUUUCGGAGCUUAACUCCGAAACUGCAUUCGAUACUGCUGUGCUUGAGGACUGGAGAGGAGACUGGAAUUUACGGUGUAGCAGUGAAAUGCGUAGAGAUCGUAAGGAAGACCAGUGGCGAAGGCGGGUCUCUGGACAGUUCCUGACACUGAGGCACGAAGGCCAGGGGAGCAAACGGG